GUUGCAACCUGACAGAAAAAUGCUGUGAAGCACUGGCCUCUUCUCUCAGCUCCUCUCAACUGAGAAAGCUGAACCUGAAUGAUAAUGAUCUGCAGGAUUCAGGAGUGAAGCUGCUCUCUGCUGGACUGAGGAGUCCACGCUGUAAACUGGAAGUUCUUACUUUGUUAUUAUGUGGAAUCACAGAGGAAGGCUGUGCUUCCUUGACCUCGGCUCCGAGGUCAAACCCCUCACACCUGAGAGAGCUAAAUCUGGACUACAGUCACAUAGGAGACUCGGGAGUGAAGAUUAUCUCUGCUGCACUGGAGCAUCCAGACUGUAAUGUAAAACUCAGUGUGAACAAUAAUGCAGAGCACUGGUUCAAAUCUGUCCUGAAGAAAUGUAGAUGCCUAUGAGCUGACACUGGACCCAAACACAACCCACAUACGCCUCUCCGUCUGAGGGGAACAGAACGGAGACGGGAGACAGAGGAAAAACCGUAUCCUGAUCACCCAGACAGAUUUCAAUGCUGGCCACAGGUUUUGUGUAGACAGAGGAGCAACCAUAUCCAGAUUAGUGUUGCUGUUAUCUAAUACAUGUAUGAUAUUGGCUACUGCACAUUACGCACGACAGACAAACAUAAAAGCCCAUAGAUGUAGCUAGCUAUAUGCUCUCUUAGGUAAAUAAAUGAAACUAGUGUGAACUGUAUUACUGUACUGUAUUAUACUGUAUUAUAUGGGCUGGAAUUACGCACAUUGUUCAAACCACGAUAAAGCGGAAGAGAACAUGCGAUUCUGCUGCAGCACAUGCAGCCUACAAAGUUACAAGUAUAGGCUAGUAAAUUUGAUUUACAUUUUGAAAUAUAAUAGGGCCUAUUUGUAUAAUUAGUAGGCUGACACAUUUAUACCUUUCAUAAUAUUUCCCCUAAUGUUAUUAGCCUUCCUCCUCUUUCUCUAUUGUUGCUUCGUUCCUUCCUCGCUUUCAACAGUUCAAUUAAAUACUUUUCGUUGUCCUUAUCUUCAUCAUUCUAAUGACAUCCUUGAAUAAUAUAAGACUAGAAUUAGAUGCAGAAUGCUUUCACUUCGCUUCACGAAGAUUGAAUGGUAAUGAGUCUGAAUAAAUAACUGAUAUAGCCUACCGCUAUCGCGCCCAUUUGCUCUUCUUUCAAACUAUCCAUGAGUUCUAUUGGCUGCUGUAUUUAGCAAUCAUAAACAUAUAAUGCCCAGCAAGGUAUUUUAGUCUAGUUUUUCCUGCGUGGGAUUGGAAGAGCUAAGGAGCGUUUUUUAAGGAGGCCAGCCGAGCACAGGUGUGUGCGUAUUGCACAAGAGACAAGGGCUGUACUAGAAGUUAGACUCUUACUAUGCAUAACCCAUUUUUAAUUAGCUAAAUAUAAGGCUAUUACUGCAUUGAAUGUAUUACCUGAAAGAGGUAGGCUAGGACAUCUAUAUAUAGGGCUAUAUAUCAAUCUGGAACAAGAUUAUCUAUUUUGGAUGCAAUUUGAAUGGAGUUGAUGGAGAGAGAACAAGACUGCGAGAGAGUGCUCGCGCGUGCACUGAUAUAAUGCAAUGAUGUUUGAGUGAUAGGCUGUUUUAAAACUGCAGCUGCAAUUGAAAAAAAGUAGAAUCUUUCAAAUUAAAAAACAAGGUGACCCCCGAAAGCCAGAUGGAGGCUGGAAUGUGAUAAAAAAAACGAGGCAUUGGUGUGGUUUAGGACCAUGUGGACACCUCCGAGCGGACAGGUAGGCUGUUUGGAGAGUCCUCUGGUAUGUGGACUUUAAAUAACAGAUUCACUGAGUCCCUCUACCCAGGGGGUUGGGUUGCUGUGGACUCCAUACAAGUGUCCUGUAACCUGGCAAAACACCAUAGUACUCAAGGGAUCUGUGAACAUUUGAAAUGUUUUUAAAAACAUUGCAACACCAAUUCAUGUCAUCUCCUCAAUUCAUCUGAUUAUAUUCCAAAAUCAUGUGAUACUAGUGAUGCAUCAUAUGACAGGUAUAAGAAAGGUGGGUUUUCUCACAGCUCCAAAAAAAGUUCUCCAACAUUGUUAUCCAAUAUAUCACAGUUCAGUUUCCUCUCAACACAUAAGUGUGCAUGCAGAAUCUAACAGCUAUAUAAUCACUCUGUCCAUCCUGAUCUUCUCUCCACUGGCACAGAGAAGAGCUCCCUCUCUGUCCUCAACAUGCUGAAACCCUCCAGUUUGUCAGAGAUCCCCUGCUACAGCCUAGGAGAGCAACCUCAGGCUGGGAAACAUACCAGUCCCACAGGCCUGGCAGAGCCUGAACAGAAUGAUAUACAACACUUUUACAUUCUUUAUUAUUGUAUUCAUUACAUUACUCUGAGGACUAUGUCCUGUCAUGUGAAUGAAAGAAAAUUACACCUGAAUCUGUGGGGAAGUUUUGUAAUCCAUACAUUUGUAACAGUGUAAAUGAUCUAUAAAAAUAUUAUAUUUAAGUCAUUUAGCAGACGCUCUUAUCCAGAGCGACUUACAUUGAACCUUUAUUUAAC